rnacentral:rRNA from 1 species
AUUGAACGCUGGCGGCAGGCCUAACACAUGCAAGUCGAACGAGUGGCGGACGUGUGUGUAAUGUCUGGGACACUGCCCGAUGGAGGGGGAUCACUACUGGACACGGUUGCCUAUACCGCAUACCAUCGGAUGUGCCCAGAUGGGAAUCGCUAGUAGGUGGGGUAACGGCUCACCUAGGCGACGACCCCUAGCUGGUCGGAGAGGAUGACCAGCCACACUGGAACGGAGACACGGUCCAGACUCCUACGGGAGGCAGCAGUGGGGAAUAUUGCACAAUGGGCGCAAGCCUGAUGCAGCCAUGCCGCGUGUGUGAAGAAGGCCUUCGGGUUGUAAAGUACUUUCAGCGGGGAGGCGUUACCCGCAGAAGAAGCACCGGCUAACUCCGUGCCAGCAGCCGCGGUAAUUC